GGUGACAGAGGCCAGAAGCCUAGUCAGAAGUCGGAAAAUCGGAAGCCAGAAGCCAGAGUAAAUAAACUUAUUCUGACCUCCGGCAUCUGAUAUCUGCCAUCUGGAUAGGUAUCCGGUUUCUGACAUCUGACUUCUGGAGUGGCGGACGGGUGAGUAACGCGUGGGUAACCUACCCAUAAAGCCGGGACAACCCUUGGAAACGAGGGCUAAUACCGGAUAAUCUUUUUAAGUGGCAUCACUUGGGAAGGAAAGGUGGCCUCUGAGAAUGCUACCGAUUAAGGAUGGACCCGCGUCUGAUUAGCUAGUUGGUGGGGUAAAGGCCUACCAAGGCGACGAUCAGUAGCCGGCCCGAGAGGGUGAACGGCCACACUGGGACUGAGACACGGCCCAGACUCCUACGGGAGGCAGCAGUGGGGAAUCUUCCGCAAUGGACGAAAGUCUGACGGAGCAACGCCGCGUGUAUGAUGAAGGUCUUCGGAUUGUAAAGUACUGUCUUUGGGGAAGAAUAGUGAGCUUAAGAAUAUUGAGUUUAAAUGACGGUACCCAAGGAGGAAGCCCCGGCUAACUACGUGCCAGCAGCCGCGGUAAUACGUAGGGGGCAAGCGUUGUCCGGAAUUAUUGGGCGUAAAGGGCGCGUAGGCGGAUAAUUAAGUCCGGUGUGAAAGAUCAGGGCUCAACCCUGAGAGUGCAUCGGAAACUGGCUAUCUUGAGGACAGGAGAGGAAAGUGGAAUUCCACGUGUAGCGGUGAAAUGCGUAGAUAUGUGGAGGAACACCAGUGGCGAAGGCGACUUUCUGGACUGUAACUGAC
rnacentral:rRNA from 1 species